rnacentral:tRNA from 1 species
GGAGAGGUGGCAGAGUGGUUGAAUGCGGCGGUCUCGAAAACCGCUAACGGGGCAACUCGUUCGGGGGUUCGAAUCCCCCCCUCUCCG